UACGUAGGGGGCAAGCGUUGUCCGGAAUCAUUGGGCGUAAAGAGCGCGUAGGCGGUCCGGUAAGUCCGCUCUGAAAGUCCGGGGCUCAACCCCGGGAGGCGGGCGGAUACUGUCGGGCUAGAGUCCGGAAGAGGCGAGUGGAAUUCCUGGUGUAGCGGUGAAAUGCGCAGAUAUCAGGAGGAACACCAAUGGCGAAGGCAGCUCGCUGGGACGGUACUGACACUGAGGGACGAAAGCUAGGGGAGCGAAAGGG
rnacentral:rRNA from 1 species